rnacentral:rRNA from 1 species
AACGAACGUUAGCGGCGCGCCUAACACAUGCAAGUCGCACGAGAAAGGGCUUCGGCCCCGGUAAAGUGGCGCACGGGUGAGUAACACGUGGGUAACCUGCCCUCGAGCGGGGGAUAACAUUCCGAAAGGAGUGCUAAUACCUCAUAAGACCACAACCUCGAAAGAGGAUGGGGUAAAAGCUGGCCUCUAUACACAAGCUAGCAAUUGAGGCAGGGCCCGCGGCGCAUCAGGGAGUUGGUGAGGUAACGGCUCACCAACCCUAAGACGCGUAGCUGGUCUGAGAGGAUGAUCAGCCACACUGGAACUGAGACACGGUCCAGACUCCUACGGGAGGCAGCAGUGGGGAAUCUUGCGCAAUGGGCGAAAGCCUGACGCAGCGACGCCGCGUGAGUGAUGAAGGCCUUCGGGUUGUAAAGCUCUGUGGGGAGAGACGAAUAAGUGCCGCCUAAUACGUUGCAUGAUGACGGUAUCUCCUUAGCAAGCACCGGCUAACUCUGUGCCAGCAGCCGCAGUAACAC